GUUUGCGGGGAGUUUGUUAAAAGAAACUGGCAUGGUGAAUCCCCCUGUGCGGAGGGGUAAUCAGCAACUGGUGUUUUGUCACCGACCCUUAUCCUUUCUGUGCGGGUUCAGGUGCUGAUACUGAACUCACCGGGAGGCACCCGGCAUCAUGCAAUGGCACAUAGCGCCACUCUCCAGCCCCUCUCCGGAGGGGCUUUUCUGUGCCG
rnacentral:sRNA from 1 species